rnacentral:rRNA from 1 species
UACGUAGGGACCAAGCGUUGUUCGGAUUUACUGGGCGUAAAGGGCGCGUAGGCGGCCAACUAAGUCGGACGUGAAAUCCCCAGGCUCAACCUGGGAACUGCGUCCGAUACUGGAAGGCUUGAAUCCGGGAGAGGGAUGCGGAAUUCCAGGUGUAGCGGUGAAAUGCGUAGAUAUCUGGAGGAACACCGGUGGCGAAGGCGGCAUCCUGGACCGGUAUUGACGCUGAGGCGCGAAAGCCAGGGGAGCAAACGGG